rnacentral:rRNA from 1 species
CCNUGCNUGGGGAGGUUCNNNNNAGAUUNAUCGGUCUGGGAUGGACUCGCGGCNUAUCAGNNNGUUGGUGGGGUAAUGGCCUACCAAGGCGACGACGGGUAGCCGGCCUGAGAGGGCGACCGNNNACACUGGGACUGAGACACGGCCCAGACUCCUACGGGAGGCAGCAGUGGGGAAUAUUGCACAAUGGGCGCAAGCCUGAUGCAGCGACGCCGCGUGAGGGAUGAAGGCCUUCGGGUUGUAAACCUCUUUCAGCAGGGAAGAAGCGCAAGUGACGGUACCUGCAGAAGAAGCGCCGGCUAACUACGUGCCAGCAGCCGCGGUAAUACGUAGGGCGCAAGCGUUGUCCGGAAUUAUUGGGCGUAAAGAGCUCGUAGGCGGUUUGUCGCGUCUGGUGUGAAAACUCAAGGCUCAACCUUGAGCUUGCAUCGGGUACGGGCAGACUAGAGUGCGGUAGGGGUGACUGGAAUUCCUGGUGUAGCGGUGGAAUGCGCAGAUAUCAGGAGGAACACCGAUGGCGAAGGCAGGUCACUGGGCCGCAACUGACGCUGAGGAGCGAAAGCAUGGGGAGCGAACAGGAUUAGAUACCCUGGUAGUCCAUGCCGUAAACGUUGGGCACUAGGUGUGGGGCUCAUUCCACGAGUUCCGUGCCGCAGCAAACGCAUUAAGUGCCCCGCCUGGGGAGUACGGCCGCAAGGCUAAAACUCAAAGGAAUUGACGGGGGCCCGCACAAGCGGCGGAGCAUGCGGAUUAAUUCGAUGCAACGCGAAGAACCUUACCAAGGCUUGACAUACACCGGAAACUUCCAGAGAUGGUUGCCCCGCAAGGUCGGUGUACAGGUGGUGCAUGGUUGUCGUCAGCUCGUGUCGUGAGAUGUUGGGUUAAGUCCCGCAACGAGCGCAACCCUCGUCUUAUGUUGCCAGCACGUUAUGGUGGGGACUCAUAAGAGACUGCCGGGGUCAACUCGGAGGAAGGUGGGGAUGACGUCAAAUCAUCAUGCCCCUUAUGUCUUGGGCUUCACGCAUGCUACAAUGGCCGGUACAAAGGGCUGCGAUACCGCGAGGUGGAGCGAAUCCCAAAAAGCCGGUCUCAGUUCGGAUUGGGGUCUGCAACUCGACCCCAUGAAGUCGGAGUCGCUAGUAAUCG